rnacentral:rRNA from 1 species
GAUGAACGCUGGCGGCAUGCCUAAUACAUGCAAGUCGAACGAGAGGAAGGAAAGCUUGCUUUUCUGAAUCUAGUGGCGAACGGGUGAGUAACACGUAGGUAACCUGCCCAUGUGCCCGGGAUAACUUCUGGAAACGGAUGCUAAAACCGGAUAGGUAGCAGGCAAGCAUUUGACUGCUAUUAAAGUGGCUAAGGCCAUGAACAUGGAUGGACCUGCGGUGCAUUAGCUAGUUGGUGAGGUAACGGCCCACUAAGGCGACGAUGCAUAGCCGGCCUGAGAGGGCGGACGGCCACAGUGGGACUGAGACACGGCCCAAACUCCUACGGGAGGCAGCAGUAGGGAAUUUUCGUCAAUGGGGGGAACCCUGAAUGAGCAAUGCCGCGUGAGUGAGGAAGGUCUUCGGAUCGUAAAGCUCUGUUGUAAGAGAAAAACGACAUUCAUAGGGAAUGAUGAGUGAGUGAUGGUAUCUUACCAGAAAGUCACGGCUAACUACGUGCCAGCCGCCGCAGUAACAC